CGCCCUUGAGUUUGAUCAUGGCUCAGGACGAACGCUGGCGGCGUGCCUAAAACAUGCAAGUCGAACGCGAUGGCCCUUCGGGGCCUGGGAGUGGCGAACGGCGGAGUAAUACGUAAGCAACGUGCCCUGAAGAUCGGGAUAUACCGGGGAAACCCGGGGCAAUACCGGAUGUGGCCGCGACCCGGCAUCGGGACGCGAUCAAAUGGUUUUUCGCUUCAGGAGCGGCUUACGGCCUAUCAGCUAGUUGGCGGGGUAACGGCCCACCAAGGCUUCGACGGGUAACUGGUCUGAGAGGACGACCAGUCCGAGUGGGACUGAGACACGGCCCACACACCUACGAGUGGCAGCAGUUGGGAAUCUUGCACAAUGGGGGAAACCCUGAUGCAGCGACGCCUUUUUGAGGACGAAGGAUUUAGGUCUGUAAACUCCUUUUGCCAGGAAAGACUUAGGACGGUACCUGGCGAAUAAGCUCCGGCUAACUACGUGCCAGCAGCCGCGGUAA
rnacentral:rRNA from 1 species